GAGGAGUUACCUCAGGCGGUGCCCCGACCCGAGGGGGAGAGCCUCAGCAAGGAUGACCAGCUGCUGGAGGGCACCAAGACGCUGGGUGACUAUGGCUUCACCAGCCAGACCGCCUGCCCCCAGGCCCCUGC